rnacentral:lncRNA from 1 species
AGUAGAGUCGAGAAAUUGGCCAUGAGGGCAGGCAGCCCCAGUGGUCGCAGCCCCUCAUCCCCAGACCUUGCUCGGGAACCAGACUUGUACCCCGCUUGGUGCCUCCUGCCAACAGCACAGGCCUGAGAAUGGAGCAACCUUUCUCACGUGGGACUCAGGCCAUGCCAAGAAAGAUUGCACAGCACAUCCUGGCAGGUUUCGCCACCAAGAGGCGACAGGAAAUGCUAAGAAUGGCUCCACUUAGCUUCCAGAAAUCAUGGCAACAAGUAGAACAUUUUCUGUCCACAUCCAGAGGGAGAAGCCACAGGAGGAAAUACCUUGAAGCUUGUGGGACGUGCCUGGUGAGGAUAUUCCGUUCAAUGACACAUCUGUCAUCUUUACAUGUUGACCAGCCAACAAGAACUUGCUGAGUACAGGACGGACAAGGUUGGCAUUCCGCUGGCUCUACAGGGGAUCAACGGGAAGGAUGGAGAGAACAGCUUGUGUGCCAGGUGGGGAGACGGACAUGGACCAAUACUGAAUAACCUACAACACAAUGGUUUAGAAAGAGAAUUCAAGGUAUGUGGACUGGACUUAAGCCAUGGCUAAGCUCACAAAAGACUUCCUGGAAGAAGAUGUACAGCCUAUGGUGAGGCACAACCUCCCUGUCUGUACUGCGAGUUCUUGGGUCAAGACACAACUCACCUCUACCUAUCUGUACACUGACAGCAAAGUCCUUUUAAUAUCAAACAGAAAUGAAUGACAAUGAUGGUGACCACAUUUCCCAAACCCACGAACGGUCAGGUUUCUGUGGCGCCUCUCCAUUUGAGAGGCUCUCUGAAAGCCAGUCGUGGAUAGCAUGCUUCCAUGUGUAUGUAAAUAACAAGACAUAUGGAACAUGUUAAAUCGGAAGACUGUUCCAUAUCCAGAAUUACUAAUGUACUAAUAAUCCUUUGAAUCCUCAAAAAAAACAAAAAACACUAUACUUUUAUGCCAAAGUAGAUGGAAUGGGUGACUAGAGAUAAAGCUGAAGAAAUUUCAGAUUUAAAAUCUGACUGGCCCAUUCACCAGCAGACUUAGGAAAGUGCUAACUGCGAAGCUGGCCAGUAUUCAGCUCGACAGUCCUAAAAACAAACGGAACCCUUUGGAGCUGGAAAGUGGUAUCAUAAAAGCCGCCGAAUGCGGUGCUUCUAGAGCGGCCCACCAGGAAAAUAUGACAGUUUACAUCUUUACGUAGCCUAAUGUACAGUGGGAAUAUAAAUAUCUCGUUCAGGCCCCAGUCACUGCCUGGAAUGGGAUGCUUUCCUUAACAAGAAGCAGAUGAGAGGCCCAGAAGCCAAACCUCUUAUUCUGUUGGUCUGAAGGCUGUAGUUUUCAGUCGGUCAGCACAGAGAGUGGCAAUUCAGGGAGGGAAGGCACUGCAUGUGUUUCCUUGGUCAGGACAAAAGCUUGUAGCUCUUUUCCUGGGCCCCCUGAGGCUCUCGUACGUUGAGUGUCCCGCAUGUGGUCAGCGGCUU